UUCAAAAGACCCAUACCUUUUCCAAUUUGACAAUAUUUUUUGUAUCUUCCUUGAAAACACAAAUAUAUGAUUUCCCUAAGUCUACCAUCUUUGUACUCAACCUCAAACAACUCUCUUUUUUUUCUUCCACUUUCUCUCUUCACCCUUUUAUGUAGGUAGUUUUUUUCCACUUUCUCUCUUCACCCUUUUAUGUAGGUAGUUUUUUUCCACUUUCUCUCUUCACCCUAUUAUCCUUCUUCGGCUGUUAUUUUCUUUCUUCCAUUUUCUUUCUUUUUACCAUUUGCUAUGCCGAUGAGUGUGGUGGUGGUGGUGGAAACGGGUUUCCGAUAAUGAGUGUGGUGGUGGUGGAAACUGAUUUCCAGCGACGAUUGUGGUGGUGGUGGAAACGGGUUUCCGGCGACGAUUUUAUGUUUUAUUUUUAUUUUUAGAUCUGUAAAAAUACUGUGGACAAAAUUGUGUAUGUAUAUAAUAAUUUGAUGAAGUUUCAUGUUUUUAUGUUAUGAAGUUAAAGAUUAAUUUACAUUGUAUAUAUUUUUCAGUCAUAGGUUGAAAUGAUCCAAAGAGGUUUGAAGAUUGAGUAUUAAUAAAAUUUGAUUUAUAAAAGAUUGCAUAUGAGGUUUUAGAUCUGGAGCUAAUAACAGAUCAAAACUCAAAAAGAAAAUAUCACAUGAGACAUUUUAUGUUUUGGAGUUUUUAUGGGAAUGAUGACUUUUUAUGCUUCAACAAAAAUUUUGAGUUUGCAUCUAAGCUAAGAUGUAGAACAUACCCACUUGAUGAUUGGGAUUUGCAACAUAACUAUAAUGCAGAAUUAUGUAUUCAUUGCCAUAUGCUACAACUCUCUCACCCUCUAAUCUGCUAUAGAAUCAGUAGGUAUAAAGUACUAAAUACUUGGAAUUAGUGAAAAAAAGAUUUGAGGAAAUUCUAAACAAUUAAAGAUACUCAAAUAUUCCUAAAGAUUCUCGAAUAUCCCUAAAACAGGUCUGUAGUGGAGUGUCCUCAUCUUCUAAGGGGUCAAAUCCCUAACAUUUAAAGUCUCUUUUGCAUUAAGUUUUGCAUUAAGAAGAAGUUGAAAAGAGAGAAAGAGAUAAGAAAGAAGAUGAAAAGAGAUAAAUAGAUGAGAAAUAUAGAGAAUUGUAGUAUUGAUCAAAUAUUUUUGUUUUAUUUUCGAUUUUAAAUAAUUUUUGCCCAAUUCUCUUUUUAAA